UACCAGCACUAAUGCACCGG
rnacentral:snRNA from 1 species